ensembl:lncRNA
CGUCUGCAGGAUGCUUAGAGAACUAUCGGGCCCACUCCGGACCUCCCUCCUCCAAGGAGGGCUGCGGACCUUAGGGUGUCUCCCGCGUGGCCAGCUGAGAAGCUCUGCUGCUCCCAAAGGUGGCUUUUUUCCUCUCCAGCAGGAAUUUCUACCUCUUCUGCCUUCGUCAGGACUGUCCCUUGUUGUGGGGGUUCUUUUUGUCCAGUUUUCAGUUUUCUAUCUGGGGUAAUUGUUCCAAAAAUAGUUGUAACCUGGUUGUGUUCAUGGGAGGAGGUGAGUUCAGAGUCUGCUCACACCGCCACCUUGACGAGAUCUCCUGUCCUCACAAUAACCUUAUAAAGUGAGUAUUAUUAUUUGAACCUCAUUUUAUAGAGGAAGAAACUGAGACUUAGAGAAAUUAGGUUAAUUUACUGAAUGUCACACAUUUGGUAAGUGGCAGAAAUAGAGUUUGAACAUGGAAUUUGGGGCGAACGCAAUAAUGCCCCAAAAAGCCGCUCCUCUUGCGAAGGGCACUGAAGCCCUGCGGUGCUAACGCAGAGCCCAGCACAGGCAGAGUGGGUCUGCGCAGAGCACAGGGAAGACGACCUCCCAGGGUGGGUGCCAGAUGGAUGAGAUCUCGACGUGACAGGUAAAACUCAAAGGCUAAUGGAAGAAAAUUGCAUUUAUUUUAUGACCAAGUAUUAGAUUAAAACCUCUUGGGACACAAACCAGUGGAACUCUGUAACUGCAAACCUUUCUCAGGUAAGUAAUUGUCAACAGGCCUUUCAGGAGGAACUCUUGAAAUGUUUUUAAAAUUAAUAACAGAUUGACAAAGUUGUAGAAAGACAACUGGUGAAAAUUUAACCUUCCUAAAAUCUAAGUUUUCAAUGGCUAUGAAUCAAGAGAAUGAAAAAUUUUGAACUUAGUUAUAAGGAAUGUAAAGAAAUGACCAUUCCAGCAGACUGAUGAGAAUCAUAAAAGAGAGGCUCAGCAGACGAGGUGAUAGCAGGCCUGAAGUAGAGAAGAGAAACCCAAAACUUCCUUUAGCCGCACGGCUAGUGGCUCCAGGGAUGCCUAGUGAAAUAACGUUGGAAGUUAUUACAAAUACCGCAGCACACAGCGCUCAUAGUUUGCAGCAAAGAACUGUGCCCAAGCUAAUUUAGAGGAGUGUGUUUACAGUUCUUAUUCCAGAUGGCCUUCAUUAAGUUAUUCUCGAUGACUCCUUUUGUGAUCGUUAUUAAGCGUUGAGUUAAUGAGCUUCUCUGGUUUUAAUGUCUAUAUCCAAUUGAUCUCAGUUGGUGUAUUAACCAUGCCUUUUAUUUUCUGAUGCUUUGACAUCUUGGGACCUUGCUGCCCCUGGAGGGAGGGACUACCUGGAUAGCAAACGACUCGCCUGUGAGUGCCUUUCAUCUGCAAGCCAGCCAUAGAGAGCCCAAAGUCCUCAAGCACCCCCUCUGUGGACUCUCACGUUCUGGGCCCCCACACACCCAUGCGCAUCACCACGGGGCCAGGUACCAGACGACAAGCCUCCUGACCAAACCUGGUGCUUUCUUUGUGGCCCCUCGUGGUGUAGUCUGCCCCUUCCUCCUGAGAUCUAUAUUUUAGGAGACGAGGAGCCCCAAGCUGGAUUGGAAGGCGCCUCUGGUCCUCCUCCUCUCUGCGUCACAGAACCAGAGCUCUCUCUUCCCUUCCAGACCCCACUGCCCCCCCCGCCCCAAGAGUCAAGGGGUCUGGAGAGCGGUCUACUCACUUCUCUGUGAGCCAGGAGAAAGCUGGAGAAGGAGCAAAGCCCUUCACCAAGAAAUGGGACGGUUACAAGGCAUCACAGUGGGGAUGAGCUGUCACCAGUUCUACAGGGAACAGCAGUGUCUCGGGUCCUCAUCCGCCAUAUUGGGAUCAACAGAGACGUGCUUUUCUCGCAUCUGGCUUUGACGAUGUAAUGGAAUGCAGGGCGUCCAUUUCUCCUUUCUUCGUGCUUAUCACGCCGCCCUGGUCCUUGCGCUGAAACAGCCAUUCUGCCUUGUAUGGCUUGGCUGUCUUUCCAGUGCUGCCCUUAUUCUGAGUAUUUUCUGUUGCACUUUGCUGGAAUCGUAUAUAUGCAGUAAAAUCACCGAACCGAGGAAGAUCUGCUUGCCUGGGGGUCCCACAAGGCAAGCAGCAUCCAGAGGAGCAACUCAUCAUGGAUGCGGUGAUGUCUCAGUCACACUGUGACUGUGCGCCCCGGUUCAAUCAACUCCGCCGCAGACGUAAUUCACUGUGGAUCCCUUUCGUUUCGCUUAUCGUCAGAAUGAAUACACACAGGAACCCCUUUAGCCCCCACCGUUUGUCAUCGGCUGCCACGUUAAACAUUGAUUUUAUUUUCCCAGGUCAGAAAUGAUGAAAUCAAUAUCUAACACGGCCAGUUGUAUUUGCUCGUACCUUUUCAUUCAGAUUCCCUGACAAAUUUUAAACAUUUUACACUGCAUUUAAUUUAAGGAUUAAGUCUGUAAGCUUGUAGAUUUAAAUGUCAGUAAAGGUUAAGAAUUAAUUGUACAUGAAACUGACUACAUUAAAUUUUAAAGCGAGAGUAGUUAUUAUUAAACACACGUGGAGGUAUUGCGUUAUUUUAUUGUUAUGAUCCAUUCAUUAGUUCAUUUGCCCAUUAUUCAUUUGGCAUACAUUAAUGCAGCAUUUGGUAUUUUUCAGAGA